GGAGGUCCUGGAGUAAUGAAUACCUGAUGGGAUUAAACUCGCUCAGCAGUACUCUGGAGGUCCUGGAAUAAUGAACACCUGAUGGGAUUAAACUCCCAAGCUUUUACUUAGAGACCCUUU